rnacentral:lncRNA from 1 species
UUAAGGUAUUCGUCGGCUAAACCCUAAAAUUUUUCUAUUACAUACUAUAGCCCUAUCUUCGGUGGUUAUUUUCUGUAAAAUUUUUAGACGACUUCUUGCGUCUCAUCGGUUUGAAACUAUUUUCAGUUGGAGGUCCGGCCAAAAUACGUAAUUUAGACGGUCGAACGACCUUUUUCGUGUUUAGGGGUUUGACUUACGAGAUUGACCGUCCAGAUCGAGCCCUUAACCUUGUCGGAUCAAGUUGAAUUUUUGCCCAUACAUGUAUUUUGUCAUGAUGGUCAGAUCUGACGGUCGGAUUUCUGUUUCUCAAGUUUGAUCAGCACAAUCACAACAUGCCUACUAAUGUUGUAUAACUCGUUUACCUAGUGUUAAGUAAAUGUUCCGUUUCAAAAACAAACUAUACGUAAAACCUUCAAAUGCAAAAAAGUCGUCAAAUAAGAUAUGACCAGAAUGGUGAAAUACAUCCAAGGUUGAAAAAUCACAGUAUUCCGGUAAAGAUUCGGUGUCGAUAGUUGAGGUCAAUGCAAUUUUUCAUUCUUUCUCCCUAUGAGUAGCCAUAUCUUCAGUGGUUAUUUUGCGUAAAAUUUUUAUACGACUUGUUGCGUCUCAUCGAUUUGAAACUAUUUUCAGUUGAAGGUCCGGCCAAAAUACGAAAUUUAAACGGUCAAACGACCUUUUCCGUGCGUUUAGGGGUUUGACUUACGGGAUUGACCGUCCGGAUCGAGCCCUUAACCUUGUCGGAUCAAGUUGAAUUUUUUCCCAUACAUGUAUUUUGUCAUGAUGGUCAGAUCUGACGGUCGGAUUUUUGUUUCUCAAGUUUGAUCAUCACAAUCACAAUGUGCCGAAUGUAUAAAAGUACUUUAGCCGACGAAUUUCAAAGGUUAGCCGACGAAUUUCAAAGGUUUAGCCGACGAAUUUCAAAGGUUUAGCCGAUGAAUUACAAAGGUUUAGCCGGGGAAUUUCAGAGGUUUUAGCCGACGAGUUUGAUCUUAGCUAACGAGAUUCUUAGCUUUAGCCGACGAAAUAAUAAUUUCAUCGGCUAAAGUUGUCGGGUUUAGAGACGAACACCCAGCGCUCGACAGUAGAAAAACCCUAGCCUCCUCUUCCGCCUCCUCCGCCUCCUCUCCCUCUCCUGGUCUCCCGGUCGCCCUCUCCCUCUCCCGGUCUCCGCCUCCUCCCUCCUCCCUCCCUCUCCCGGUCUCCGCCUCCUCCCUCUCCCUCUCCCUCUCCCUCUCCCUCUCCCGGUCUCUGACUCCUCUCCCUCUCCCGGUCUCCAAGGUUAGCAUUUUUCUGCUUUUUUACUUUUGAUUUCGAAUUGAUUUUUAGGCUAUGCUUUAUGUUUUAUGUUACUGUCCAAUUUCCCUAAUUUAUGUUUAGGAGAUAAAUUAUCCUCAUUUUUUAAACAUAUGUUUUGUUGAUAAUGAACUUGAAGCUUGCACUGUGCACUUGUUAUAUUCCAUG